UACGUAGGGGCAAGCGUUAUCCGGAUUUACUGGGUGUAAAGGGAGCGCAGACGGAACUGCAAGUCUGAUGUGAAAGCCCGGGGCUCAACCGCGGGACUGCAUUGGAAACUGUAGAUCUGGAGUGCCGGAGGGGCAAGCGGAAUUCCUGGUGUAGCGGUGAAAUGCGUAGAUAUCAGGAGGAACACCGGCGGCGAAGGUGGCUUUCUGGCCAGUUACUGACGCUCAUGCGCGAGAGCUGGGUUAGCGAACCGGAUUAGAUACCCU
rnacentral:rRNA from 1 species